rnacentral:rRNA from 1 species
UUUAAUUCGAAGCAACGCGCAGAACCUUACCAGCCCUUGACAUGGAACGUAUGUUCACCAGAGAUGGUGUCUUGUCUUCGGACGCGUUCACACAGGUGCUGCAUGGCUGUCGUCAGCUCGUGUCGUGAGAUGUUGGGUUAAGUCCCGCAACGAGCGCAACCCUCAUCUUUAGUUGCCAUCAUUUAGUUGGGCACUCUAAAGAAACUGCCGGUGACAAGCCGGAGGAAGGUGGGGAUGACGUCAAGUCCUCAUGGCCCUUACGGGCUGGGCUACACACGUGCUACAAUGGUGGUGACAAUGGGAUGCUAACCCGCGAGGGCAAGCUAAUCUCCAAAAGCCAUCUCAGUUCGGAUUGCACUCUGCAACUCGAGUGCAUGAAGUCGGAAUCGCUAGUAAUCGUGGAUCAGCAU